CAUCGCCGCCACCUCCCUCCCCACCUCCACCACGCUACCCACCACCACACUACCCGCCACCUACGCCAUUGCGGUCGCCUCCACCCCCAUCAUACGGACACCGGUUCCCGCCUCCACCACCGCCGUCAUAUUACAAGCCUCCUUCGAAGUAACUGGAUUUACGGUCUAAACUCUCCGCGGAAAUAGUAAGUCCAUCCUGAGCGCCUGAAUCUUCUCAUGCAUACGUAAAUGACUCCAUGAAACAAAGAAAUUGUAGCGUUAUCAAUCCACACAUCUAAGUAUUCUACUUGUAAUUGCAGCACUCGACAGGAAGACCCGGAGAACGAAUGGUUCAGCCUGCAUCUUAUAAUAUAGCUGUCGAAAAGAGCCCCACCCCACUACAGAGCCCCGACGUGCGUUAGCAAUUCUAGAGAGAGAAAGAGCUCGGGGAUUAUUUAGCAUACGAUGUACUGUUAGUCUUCCUCAAUGUCUUACGUAAUGCGUGCGUUCAUAUGAAUAAAAGGUGUAUUUUCGAGGAAAUCAGUGACCAAGUGAGAGAAAGCUCUAGCAAGCUUCUCUCGUUGUCACCAUGGUUGGCCAUUCAGGCUGAAGUCCCUCUCUUCCAACCAUCUUGUCCACGUCAAUCUAAACACCAAUCACUUGGGUACACACACGCAGGCCAGGCCUAUAUAGAAGAUGCGUAACAGGUCUGUUUCAUGGUAUUCAGUGGACGAUCAGGCCUGAUACAAUCGAAAUAAAUUGGGG
rnacentral:lncRNA from 1 species